UCAGAUCAGAGAUAACAGGUCAGAUCAGAGAUAACAGGUCAGAUCAGAGAUAACAGUUCAGAUCAGAGAUAACAGGUCAGAUCAAAGAUAACAGUUCAGAUCAGAGAUAACAGGUCAGAUAAGAGAUAACAGGUCAGAUCAGAGACAACAGGGGUUGAUAAAUAGGUCAGAUCAGAGAUAACAGGGGUUGAUAAACAGGUCAGAUCAAAGAUAACAGGUCAGAUCAGAGAUAACAGGUCAGAUCAGAGAUAACAGGGGUUGAUCAACAGGUUAGAUCAGAGAUAACAGGGGUUGAUAAACAGGUCAGAUCAAAGAUAACAGGUCAGAUCAGAGAUAACAGGGGUUGAUCAACAGGUCAGAUAAGAGAUAACAGGGGUUGAUAAACAGGUCAGAUCAAAGAUAACAGGUCAGAUCAGAGAUAACAGGGGUUGAUCAACAGGUCAGAUCAGAGAUAACAGGGGUUGAUAAACAGGUCAGAUCAGAGAUAACAGGGGUUGAUAAACAGGUCAGAUCAAAGAUAACAGGUCAGAUCAUAGAUAACACGGGUUGAUAAACAGGUCAGAUCAGAGAUAACAGUCUUGUUUAGCAGUCUUACGGCUUCGGGUUAGAACCUGUUCAGGGUCCUGGUGGUUCCAGACUUGCUGUGCGGUAGCAGAGAGAACAGUCUACGGCAGUGCUCUCCAACCCUCUUCCUGGAGAGAUACCGUUUUCACAUCCUAAUCCUAAUCUAGCACACUUGAUUGUAAUUCAACUGGGGUUGGAGCAAACACCUGGGGGAGGAAAGCCCUGGUCAAUGGAAUGGUCCACACUAAAGGGACCCACCCGAAACUACUACAGGAGAUUUGAGUCUUUGAACCAUCAUUACAUUACACCAUUUCGGUAUCACUGCAGUGAUUUGAUUCUCAAUCAACCAAUCAAGUAUAUUAAAUUGUAUUAUACUUUGCAAACUAAAAUUAUCUGGUAAAAACCU